AGGCACCCCCCAAACAAUUUUAUUUCAGUGUAAACCCUCAGGGUCACCAGGAUCAACAUAUUGGUGAAAAGCCUUAGAAGCAACAUGGAAGGGCCCUCAUGUGUGAAGAGCUGUAAGUUCCAGAUGCUAAAGAAGCCCUUUACCUGUGGGGAGGUUAGGAAGCACUUACUGGCCACCCCAAGGUAUUUCUGCAAGAAGAGGAGGCCAAACAAAACCAUCACAUGUGGGUUGGCAGAAAGUCAUCCCAACUGUGGAGAAUGAAAGAAAGCCUUCAGCUACACAGACACACUUGCUCAGAACCAGGUGUCUACACAGGAGAAAAGCCUUAAGAGUGUAGUGAAUAUAUUAAAUAUUUUAGCUAUAGUUCCACCUUCAAUUAUCAAUGGAGAGUUCACACUGGAGAAAGACCUUAGUUGUGGAGGGAACAUGCAAUCUCCUUGUUCAGGGUAACAAAAAUGGAUCAAAGCCUCUCUGAGUAGCCAUCUGCCCGCUUUGAAUCUCAUACAUCUAAACCUCCAUAGUGGGAAGAUUCCCCAUAUAUUUCAUUUAUGCAGGAAGUGUGUGUGGCUAUGUUGCACUUUCUAACUUGCCCAGUGCUCUUUCCAGAUUUAUGUCCCUGCCAGUUUCUGUGGCCAAAGCCCCUCCAUCUCUACCACAUGGCAGGUCCCCACAGUGUGCAUCAGUCACCACCAGAGUGAGCUCCAGGAAGCUGACAUCUGUUCUGGGAUGUAUUGCAGCAAAUUAGGAGUAACCUGAGUCUUUGGGAGGUCCACAUUCCCUUCUCUCUGACCAGUUGGCAAAGACCUCACACAGGUUUGGCCCAGAGGAAACCAAAGGAGUUCUACCGACAACUUGACAAGAACCACUUUUUCCCAGGCACGUUUGUCUCACUUGGUGCUUGUGAUACUUUCCUAGCUCCCAGGUCUCCCACCUGAGAACUGCCUACCAUGUGUUGCUUCGGUUUGUAAAAUAAGAAGAGCCUUAUUGUUUAAGUUGUCUCUAAAUUUGGGGGUUCUAGUUACUAUGCAGUGGUUUAUAGUAGAUUUGGGCCCUGCACGCAUUACAAUUUUUGUCAGUAUGGCAGAAAAUGGCACCUCAGUUUUGGGCAAAUUCGUAUUGCUGCUCAUGGCCUCUUUAUGAUAGAGUUGUCGUUCUCAUUAAUGGCAUGGAUGCCUGGGUGACUAGCCUCCAGAUACCCGCAUAUGGCCCCUUAAAGAGGGGCAACCGACCCUCUGCCCUUGAGCAGGGGCCCUCCGUUCCCCAGAGGGCCUGGCAGUAAACGUUGGCCUUCUUUCCCGCAAUCAGGUGGGGAACCCCCUUACCUAGACCUUGCGAACUGUGGGAACUACAUUUCCCAGAACGCCCUGCGUUGACGACAGAGUCUCUGAGCCAGUGAAGGCUUAGAAAAGAGGCGCCCCGAUUGAGCAUAAAGGGUCGGGGCGGGACUUCCGGCGGCGGGUCCUUUGCCAAAAUUUGGGCGGCUUGCUUGUUUUGUCAGCUUGCGGGAGGUUCCGGAGGGCAGGGCAGGGCUGGGGCGGGGAGGGGCGGUGUCUGCGCGAAAGCGGGCUUUGUCCUCGCUGUAGGGAGGCGAGUCUAGGGGUCGGAGACUUCGCCGCCUGCGAGGACCGCCUGGAGACCUCGGUGUCCGCGACUGCUCGGGCCGCUCAGCUGUCAUCACUUCGCUCCGCCUAGAGGCUCCGAUGGCGGCGGCCGCGCCCAGGGACCCGUCUGAGCACAGGUUCUCGUGGCUGGAGAAGGGCUUGGAACCUACACAGGGAACUGGAGGGUGUCCUGGUCCCUCACUGGCCUAGACCCUCACCCCAGUGUCCUCUGACUGUGGUGUCCCGAGGCUCUUCAUGCCAAUCCUCCCUCCUUGAAUCUGGUGAACCUGGAGAACCCCUAAGCCCAGGUUGUGUCGGAAGUCCACAGUUCGGCGGAGAGCAUCCUUGCCAUACCUCAGAUGCAGCUCCCACGUGGGCCUUUAUAUGCAGGUGAAGCAGAACUGAGAGACCCACAUGUCACCGUCAAGGAGAUGAAGGGAUGAAUGCCAGGGAGCCUGAAGAGACCGGUGUAGAGGUGUCCAUCAGACCAUAUUGAUGGAUCAUAAUAGGGUUCUUCAAAAAGACAAAAUGGAAGAAAGUAAAAGGACACCAACAUAUUCAUCAGGAUGAAAUUGGCUUUUGUCCCAUCAAGAUGAGAAUGGAGGGCUCCUGGGUGGCUCAGUGGGUUAAAGCCUCUGCCUUCAGCUCAGGUCAUGAUCCCAGGGUCCUGGGAUCUAUUCCUCCAUCGGGCUCUCUGCUUAGCAGGGAACCUGCUUCUUCAUCUCUCUCUGCCUGCCUCUCUGCCUACUUGUGAUCUCUGUCUGUCAAAAAAAUAAAUAAAAUCUAAAAAAAAAAAAAAAGAAGAAGAAGAUGAGAAUGGAGCUUGGGGCUUUGGUUUCACAGAAAGGUCUGGGGGAAAGGCCAUGACUAUGAAUGUGUUGGAUUUGCUGCUUGUGCUUGAGCAGAACAAGGAUGUGGUGCCACUUGGUAGAUGAGGCCAGAGUACCUAAUGUCAGUGGAGGACAGCAUGCAUACAUGCGGUGAGAUAAUACUUCUGGAAUAUCCAGUGAAAUGUACUAUGUAUUUUUUUUUAAGAUUUUAUUUAUUUAUUUGACAGAGAUCACAAGUAGGCAAGAGAGGCCGCAGAGAGAGAGGGAGGCCGGCUUCCCACUGAGCAGGGAGCCUGAUGCGGGGCUUGAUCC